AUUGAACGCUGGCGGCAGGCUUAACACAUGCAAGUCGAACGAGUGGCGGACGGGUGAGUAAUGUAUGGGGAUCUGCCUGAUGGAGGGGGAUAACUACUGGAAACGGUAGCUAAUACCGCAUACCAUCAGAUGAACCCAUAUGGGAUUAGCUUGUAGGUGAGGUAACGGCUAACCUAGGCGACGAUCCCUAGCUGGUCUGAGAGGAUGAUCGGCCACACUGGGACUGAGACAGGGCCCGGACUCCUACGGGAGGCAGCAGUGGGGAAUAGUGCACAAGGGGCGCAAGCCUGAUGCAGCCAUGCGGCGUGUAUGAAGAAGGCCUUCGGGUUGUAAAGUACUUUCAGUCGGGAGGCGUUACCGACAGAAGAAGCACCGGCUAACUCCGUGCCAGCAGCCGCGGUAAUC
rnacentral:rRNA from 1 species